UCUCUCAGACUGUAGGCAUAUCUGUCGGUCAUUUCCUUGAUCACUAAUGGAGGUGAGUAGACCCAAUGUGCGUGGUUUUGUAACUAGGUAGGAGGGACUGGACCGUAUAAAACAGAUAACUGAGUAGAACAGAAGGUUGCAAGUCAGUAAGUCACAGUUAUACUCUUUGCCUCAGUUCCUGCCUCCAGGUUUCUCGUGGUGACGGAUUGCAUUUCUCACAAAGAACGACACACUGUGCCCAAUACACAUUUCAUUGACAACAGCGGGACACAGCAUGGAAGAAGAUAUCUUCAGCAACUCAUUUGUUUUAGAGACAAAGAUACCAAGAUGUGGAGACAGAAAAUGAUCUGGUCACUGUCAAACGGCAAAGACUCUACAGUCGUUCCAAGAUCUUCCUUGACUCCACCUAUCAUCAAUUGACCUGCACCUGUGUUCUGAAGCUGUGUGUCCCCAGAACUCUCCCUUCCCCUACCUCUUAAAGGAGGUGUCUCUUCCUCUUCUUUAUUGUAGGAGGAAAUGAGUGUCCCUCGUUUCCAUCCCUAGGAUUCAUUGUUAUCUCACUAGAAUUUUCAGUAUAUAUAAUAUAUAAUUACAUUUGGUGUAUUUGCCUUAACCCAGCCAAUAAUUAAAUGGGUACAUUUUUCUUUA